rnacentral:ncRNA from 6 species
CAAAUUCGUAUCUAGGGGAAU